UGGAUUACAGAAUUACCACCUACUACUAUAAAAUGUGAAAAUAUGAUUUAAAAUAAAAGAUAAAGAUAAAGCUAAAACCAAAUAGAUAAACUGGAGUCUUUUGUUGAUCUUUUGAUACCCCUUUAAUACAGUUAUAUCUAUCUUAAAUAAGUUUAAGAGACCAUUACACCCCACUUACUCAUUUCUUAAUAAUCGUAUCUCUUUCAAGAAUGGUUCUCAACAUUAUCUAUCUUUUUUUCAAGUCCUUUAUAUAUUUUUUCCUAUGCUGGGUUUCACCCACUAGUCCAUCAAACC
rnacentral:lncRNA from 1 species